ensembl:lncRNA
GAGCUUGGAGUUUCUCAGUGCAGCGGCAUCUGUGAGAUGCCAUGUGGUCUAACGGGAAGACCAUGGCCUGGAAAGACAAUGGGCUGGGAGUCUGACGGUGCUGAGUAGAGUGAAUGGUUCUUAUUGUUGUAACGACACGCAGCUGCUUUAUUGGUCAUUCAAGAGGAAACUUGUCCCCGUGGCGAGGGAUUUGGACUGAAGCCUGCAGCUGCUUAGCACAGAUGCUGACGAGGCCUCACCUAGGCUUUCCUGCCCACCUGCAGCCGUCAGCUUCCCUCUAACUCUGCAGAUUGACUGCACGCCUUUUUCUCCACUGCCCCUCCAAACCCACUAAGAUAGCCAUAAGGGAAUAAAGUAAGAGGAAGCAACUGGGAGAGCAAAUGCAAAAAAUGUCAACAAAAUUUUGAAAGAUGUAAGGUGUUUGAACAAAGGGCAUCUAAUUUAGUUUUAGCUUUAGCCAUUCUGCUAAGCGUCUACACCUGAAGAAGCCAACAAAACGUAAAUUGAAUCCACCAUGGAUCCUCAAAAGGCAGAGGAUCUGGAAGCACCAGACAUCUCUGAAUCCAGGGGUCAGGAUGGGGCUGAGAAGAAGAGGAUUCACUCGUAAGUCUGUAUAAGAAGGAUCUAGACCCCCAGAUUUUCUCCCUUGCCCCACACAGCCAGGCGCCAUAGCUCCUCUACCAUCCAGCAGAUGACACAUUUGCUAUCUAAAGAGGGUGAACCAGAGAGAUUCUGACCCAGGGGACGUGAAGCAUGGCAGAAGGCAGAAGACAAAGACAUCCUGAAAAGAGGCGACCGCAAUGCAGACUCGAGGGAACCGUCAUUCCAAGGACUUCCAUGUGAGUGGUGCUUCCUGAAGCUGUGCACUGAGGUGGCCCUGGAGGAACCGGCUAGCUCCCGCCCACCCUCUUCCCAUCUCAGCCCUUGCAGCUCUGUUUCUAGCAGGAGGAAGGGGAGUGAAAUCAUUCAUGCCAGCUGUGAUUCCGACUUACAUCUCACUGAGCAGGACUGUGUCAUGUGACUGCAUCUGCCAACAAGCGGGGAAACUCUAGACGUCAGAAGUGAGGUGAUCACUGUUUGUGUUGGCCCUGUUGGCAGCAGCAGAACUUUGCAAAUGGUUACUGAUGGUGGUUGGAUAUGAUGUCAUCAGACGUUUCCAAAAGAAAAGCAGUUCGGCCCUGUAAUGGCUUUUUUUUGUUGUUGUUUCACACAAUUCAUGGAAUCCAUGUAAAGUUUUUGGAGGUUCAUUUUACUAAAGGUGAAAUGUCUGAUGUUAUUGCUAAUUCUACUGUAAAUUCAGUUCAAAAGGUCACCAUUAAAAAUAAAAUGAUUUGUUUUUGCAGGAAAAAUGUAAAUACGAUUUUUGGAGGAGCACUUCACCAUGCAAAAAAUAAUACCCUUACCCUUAAUAUUGUUAAGAAGCCAAAUGGUCUUGGCAAUGACUUCUUGGAUAUGACACCAAAAGCACAGGCAACAGAAGCAAAAACAGACAAGUGGGACCACAGUAAAUUAAAAGGUUCUGCACAGCAAAGAAAACAACCCAUAGAGAGAAAAGGCAACCUACAGAAUGGGGUAAAAUAUUUGUAAACCAAACAUCUGAUAAGGGAUUAAUAUCCAAAGUUAUAAGGAACUCCUACGACUCAAAAGUAAAAAAGCAAGUAACCCAAUUAAAAAAUGGGCAAAGGACUUGAAUAGACAUUUCUCCAAAGAAGA